rnacentral:lncRNA from 1 species
UUUUUUUUUUUUUUUUUUUGUGUUGAGAAAUUCAACAAUGUUUUGCUCAGAGAUGGUGCGCGUAUCAGCUCUAAUCACGGCGUAUGAUAAACCAAAAGGACCUAAUUAUUGAGAGACCUCUUCUGACAUUCUCAAGACCUACUUAAUUUUGAUGUUUAGCAAAACCUUUCUACCACCCCCGCAAAAAAACAAAAAUGAAGAGGAAGAAAAAGGCUAAAAAGAAAAGAAAAUUAAAGCAAGGGGCAUAUAUGGAGCGCAGCCAAAUGCGCCGACCAACAACAAUGCAAUUGAUCAAGCGACAGCAAAAUGCCAGAGACUUCGAGGGCUCAUAUGAGCUUAAUAAAUGAUGACGCAUGCGCAGGCUUUGAGGGUCUAGUUUUGUUUUGCAAGUCUUUAGAACACUGCAAGUAAGUUGCGCCUUGACUAAACAUAAAACCGUCAAAAUAGAAAGGCAAUAGAUAGUGUACGUAAUAUGGUCUUAGAAAAUGGGAUUCCAAUUCUUGCUAGGGAGUAGGAUCAUUCUCUUAUAUCUACACAAGUAUUAGGCAAAAAAGUAAUUACUCCGUAUAAGUAUAAUAAGCCAAACGAGUCGACGGUUAGCAGUUGGAAUAUACAGGCGUGUAUACAAUACAGGCGUGGAUAAUUUCAUUUCAUUUUACAAGUUGAGUUGAGAUGUCAUCCAUAUCCCAAUUGAAACUGCGCCAAUUGUAGCCAAAGCUUGGGCCAACUCAUAUACCAAAUUUUGCUGCCGGAGAGGCACGCUUGCCCAGUCGGUCCGUC